rnacentral:misc_RNA from 1 species
AAAGUCGUAACAAGGUUUCCGUAGGUGAACCUGCGGAAGGAUCAUUAACAAAUUCCAAAACUCGUGUUGGGCUUUUGACUGAGCCUUGUCUUGUUGAUCUUGUCUUGUCUGCUGCUGCUCAUGUCCCCUUAACCGGAUGAUGUGUGUGUGUGUGUAGAAAAGAUGGGGGAUCGGACGGGGGAAAGGUCAAGGUCCGUUCAUAACACACAAAAUACAACUUUGACAGAGAGAAACAAUGUAAAAAAUAGGGUUCAUACAGCAAUGUGUGAAUCGUUAAACUUAUACAACUUUUAACAAUGGAUCUCUCGGCUCUU